CGUCUCCCUCUCUCCUCCAUCUCCAGCUCGUGCUCGACGCUCCAGCAGAUCUGAGUCUCCGGAGCAGCCAACAGCACCGUCGGAGCAGCUGCACGCCUCCGCCCGUCGCCGUUCGUCGCCGUGGCGCCGCCCUAGCGCGCGGUGCUGCCCGCGCGUCUCAGCCCCCUCACGCCGUCGCCCCUGUUUCAACCGAGAUCCAGCAGCUUCUUCGAGUAGCUCAGGCCAUCACCGGAGCUCCCUCCGCCGCCGUCGACCUCCCCUUCAGCCCGUCCAAGCCCUCGCCGGUCUCCUCCGCCGUUCCUUCGCCGAACCAGCCCUAGAUCUACCCUCCUUCGCCCCCAACCAGCAACAAGCAGAGAAGAAGAAAAUGGGUAUGGCAGCCCCUUCGUGGGCCGUUUUGGCCGCCUUCCCGAGCCCGGAUGCUCGGCCCGCUUUGAGGAAAGUCGAUCAUCGCGUCGUCCUCGUCGUUUUAGUCCGCUCGGCUCGCUAAUCCGGUGAGUUUAACUCACUAAACCUUGAUUAGACGGUUAAUGAUGCCCUAAGUGUGCUUAGCCAAAGUUAAGUAAACUUAGUUGGUUGAAUUAGUUUAAUUGGUUGAUGAUUAGAUUAUAGUGUUUAAUUAAGUUAAAGUGUGUUUAGUUUAAAGUUAAGUAUGUUUAUUGUUAAUAUAAAGCCUUGAUGUGACAUAAUAAGAUUUUAAUUUUGAAUUAUUUAAUUGCUUCGAAAUUCUGGAAAUUUAUAAUAUUAUAUUAAUUCCGAAAUUAUUAAAAUAUUAUUAUUUGAAAAAAAAAAUCGGAAAAAUUAUUUUUGAUCCCGGUUGCUCAGAAUUUCGUGCCGAUCGCUGCUGUGUAGUUGGAUUUCGAAAUUGAUGGUUGGAUAUUAUAAAUUGAGCGUGGAUCAUGAAAAAUAUGAAUAUUAUUAUUUAAUUAUUUUCGGAACAAAUUUAAUUAUUUAAUAAAUUCCAAAAAUUUUGUCAGGACCCUAAACCCUCAGAAUUUCGUGCCGAUUGCUGCUAUGCAUUUAGAAUUUGAUAUUGAUGAUUGGUUGUGGCAAAUUAAGUGUGAUUGUGAUAUAUAGGGAUUCUUUAUGAAAUCCUAAGUGUAGAAAUUGAUGGGAGAUUGGCUGUGAUUGACCACCUAUUAGAGGUCGUGCCCAGUGAGGCCGUGAUGUACCACCUAGGAAAGGUCGUGCCUAGUGAGGCCGUGAAAAACCACCUAUUAAAGGUCGUGCCCAGUGAGGCCGUGAUAAACCACCUAUGAGAGGUCGUGCCCAGUGAGGCCGUGAUAAACCACCUAUGAGAGGUCGUGCCCAGUGAGGCCGUGAUUAACCACCUAUUAGAGGUCGUGCCUGAUGAGGCCGUGAAUUACCACCUGAUUACAGGUCAUGCCGAGUGGGGCCGUGAUUGCCACUGAUUGUUAAACCUUCCUAUAGGGCCAGGAUUGAGAGCAAUGGUUGAUUUGCUAGAAUGACAUGUAAUCGGCCGAGUCGAUUGAUCGCUGAGACGAUCCAAGUGGUUGAAUUGUUUGAUAAUGUGAUUGUGCCAUGGUUGUUUGGUUAUCAUAAUUGCACGUGGUUGGUUUAUAUAAAUUGUGCUAACCUGCAGAUAAAGGUUGAGGCGAGGUAAGUCUUCUGUGUGAUGUGGCUAGGCCACCCGGGGCGUAUUUUCUUUCUAAUAGGGGUUUAGGGGGUUGAACUUGCUGAGACAUCGUCUCAUCCCGGUUGUGGGAUUAAAAUUUCAGGUCCCUGGUGGACGGAGCGGCCAGAUAGCUUUGGUUGGCCUUGAGGAGUUGCAAAGGUGAAGUCAUAAGGGUUGGGAGCGUGUCCUGCUAGUUGGUUGUAGGAUAGUCCCCCUUUUGUCGAGCUGGUCUAUUUUGUGGAAAGUCCAGUGUUGUAUUUAAACCCUUUGUGUUUGUAAAUGAGUGUUUGGUAUUGUGAUUGAUUGCUUGCUUUUCUAUCCCAAGUUAAAUGUUGUCAAGGGAUUUGUUUCGCUUCCGCAUGCGUAAAGAAAUGAAUGGGUCGGCGACAUAUCCUGAGAUGUCGCAUUUUUGAUCAACCGUAGUGGGAUGUGUGCGCACUCGAGGUUCGGGGCGUGACACUUUCAGACUCAGACUUACAAGACUUUAUCUGAAAGAUAGUCUUGGCACGACUGUCAGACUGUAAGUCUUUCUCUCCCUAAUAUUAUCUUGAAAAUGUACGAUUGUCAGACUGUGUUUAAAUUGUUGCUAUAUUUAAUUGACGUAAAUAUUGCAUCGUUUCAUUUUCAAAAAGGAAGUUAUUUUUGAAAUGGCUAUUUUUGCGGAAAAAGAC
rnacentral:lncRNA from 1 species